CAAGGAAUUUUCCGCAAUGGGCGCAAGCCUGACGGAGCAACGCCGCGUGGGGGAUGACGCUUUUCGGAGUGUAAACCCCUUUUCUUCGGGAAGAAGGGUGGGCGUAAGCCGGCCUUGACGGUACCGGAGGAAGAAGGACCGGCUAACUACGUGCCAGCAGCCGCGGUAAUACGUAGGGUCCGAGCGUUGUCCGGAGUUACUGGGCGUAAAGCGCGCGCAGGCGGCUCGUUAAGACCGGCGUGAAAGCCCCCGGCUCAACCGGGGAGGGUCGUUGGUGACUGGCGAGCUUGAAGACAGCAGGGGGCAGGUGGAAUUCCCGGUGUAGUGGUGAAAUGCGUAGAGAUCGGGAGGAACACCCGUGGCGAAGGCGGCCUGCUGGGCUGGGUCUUGACGCUGAGGCGCGAAGGCGUGGGGAGCGAACGGGAUUAGAUACCCCGGUAGUCCACGCAGUAAACGAUGCCGACUAGGCGUGGGGGGACUUGACCCCUUCCGUGCCGGAGCCAACGCGGUAAGUCGGCCGCCGU
rnacentral:rRNA from 1 species